UCAGGUGGUUAUUGCGGCGGGGUCCCACCUCUUCCCAUUCCGAACAGAGAAGUUAAGCCCGUUUGCGCCGAUGGUACUGCAAUGCAA
rnacentral:rRNA from 1 species